GCAUUCCACAAGCUGCACACUCUUGCUUUCUGCGGUGUGAGAGACUGGUAAUUCUAAACGUUCCCACAGGUCGCAAACUGCAGCUAACAACUCGUUUGUGCUGUAAGGGACAUUUGUCAAAAGGAUAUGAAGAUGGGGUUCUUUCGAAGACCCUGACCUGGAGUCACGUGCUGACUUCGGUUCUUUGUAGGAAUGGGACCUGCUCUCAGGGUUUCACGACUGGCCGUUAUUCGAUAUUCCUGGGAUGCAGUCUUUGGAGUUCCGGGAUUCUGUGGCUCUGGAAACGGGUGGACCGAAGGUCGGUGCCUCCGCAGGAAUUCGAUGGAAGAUCGAAAGCAGCCAGCUGGCUGUGUAGCCAGAGACCCGAGUUCUUUGGGCACAGAGCUCGGAAAAAGCGACACAAUGGACUUUUAACAUAAUAAAUCAACGAGUUGUU